rnacentral:rRNA from 1 species
ACGGAAGGCAGCAGUGGGGGAUAUUGCACAAUGGGGGAAACCCUGAUGCAGCGACGCCGCGUGAGUGAUGAAGUAUUUCGGUAUGUAAAGCUCUAUCAGCAGGGAAGAAAAUGACGGUACCUGACUAAGAAGCUCCGGCUAAAUACGUGCCAGCAGCCGCGGUAAUACGUAUGGAGCAAGCGUUAUCCGGAUUUACUGGGUGUAAAGGGAGCGUAGACGGUGACGCAAGUCUGAAGUGAAAGGUGUGGGCUCAACCCGCAAACUGCUUUGGAAACUGUGUGACUAGAGUGUCGGAGAGGUAAGUGGAAUUCCUAGUGUAGCGGUGAAAUGCGUAGAUAUUAGGAGGAACACCAGUGGCGAAGGCGGCUUACUGGACUGUAACUGACGUUGAGGCUCGAAAGCGUGGGGAGCAAACAGGAUUAGAUACCCUGGUA